rnacentral:rRNA from 1 species
GUGCCAGCCGCCGCGGUACUACCGGCAGCUCAAGUGAUGGCCACUCUUAUUGGGCCUAAAGCGUCCGUAGCUGGCCGCGCAAGUCCGUCGGGAAACCCAUCAGCCCAACUGAUGGGCGUCCGGCGGAAACUGCACGGCUUGGGACCGGAAGGCUCGAGAGGUACGUCCGGGGUAGGAGUGAAAUCCCAUAAUCCCGAACGGACCACCGAUGGCGAAAGCACUUCGAGAAAACGGAUCCGACAGUGAGGGACGAAAGCCAGGGUCUCCAACCGGAUUAGAUAUCCCUGUAGUCC